rnacentral:rRNA from 1 species
UACAUGGGGUGCAAACGUUGCUCGGAAUCAUUGGGCGUAAAGCGCGCGUAGGCGGUUACACAAGUUGGAUGUGAAAGCCCUCGGCUUAACUGAGGAAGUGCAUCCAAAACUGUGCAGCUAGAGUACUAAAGAGGGUCGCGGAAUUCCCGGUGUAGAGGUGAAAUUCGUAGAUAUCGGGAGGAACACCGGCGGCGAAGGCGGCGACCUGGGUAGAUACUGACGCUGAGGCGCGAAAGCGUGGGGAGCAAACAGG